rnacentral:misc_RNA from 1 species
GAUGAAGAACGUAGCGAAAUGCGAUAAGUAAUGUGAAUUGCAGAAUUCAGUGAAUCAUCGAAUCUUUGAACGCACAUUGCGCCCCCUGGCAUUCCGGGGGGCAUGCCUGUUCGAGCGUCAUUACAACCCUCAAGCACGGCUUGUGUGUUGGGCCUCCGUCCUCCUCCCGGGGGACGGGCCCGAAAGGCAGCGGCGGCACCGCGUCCGGUCCUCGAGCGUAUGGGGCUUCGUCACCCGCUCUUGUAGGCCCGGCCGGCGCUUGCCGACACAUCAAUCUUUUUUCCAGGUUGACCUCGGAUCAGGUAGGGAUACCCGCUGAACUUAAGCAUAUCAAUAAGCGGAGGA